rnacentral:lncRNA from 1 species
UAAGUGUGUGUUCUGGAAUGAACGACCAGGAGAAGCAAAGGGUGCCAAACCCUAGUUCAUCGAAUAACAUCAAAUUGAAGGGCUAAUCGGGGCUCAAAUUCAUGAAUGAACGCGGAUUAAUGAUCACUCAAGCUAGAAGAUCAUAAGAUGAAUGAAAUCGUUUUGGCGCUUAACAAGCUAGGUGGAAGCAAGGGGAGAAAACGGGUCAAACGAAUCAAGUAUGAGAAGGAAAAGAGCAUAACCGGAUGCAAGGUAAGUAAAGCUUACACCUUCUAGAAUAGAAUACUUACUUGUAUAAUGGAUAGCAUUGUGAAUAAUAAAAUGGACAUGGUUUUCGCGGACGUUUUGUCAACAAAAUAGUUGUUGACAGCAAGCAGGUCCGUAUUUGCAGAAAUUGUUUCGGGGUCUUAAACACUUAGUUUUGAAUCAAUAUUUGGUCAGAAGUGGUAUAACAAUAUAAAUGAUGAUUGGUAAUUUUUAUAAACUUUUCGGAAGUUGUUUAACGUGGUUUUCGCAGACGUUUUGUCAACAAAAUAGUUGUUGACAGCAAGCAGGUCCGUAUUUGCAAAAAUUGUUUCGAGGUCUUAAACACUUAGUUUUGACUCAAUAUUUAGUCAGAAUUGGUAUAACAAUAUAAAUGAUGAUUGGUAAUUUUUAUAAACUUUUCGGAAGUCGUUUAACGUGGUUUUCGCGGACGUUUUGUCAACAAAAUAGUUGUUGACAGCAAGCAAGUCCGUAUUUGCAGAAAUUGUUUCGAGGCUUUAAACACUUAGUUUUGACUCAAUAUUUGGUCAGAAUUGGUAUAACAAUAUAAAUGAUGAUUGGUAAUUUUUGUAAACUUUUCGGAAGUUGUUUAACGUGGUUUUCGCGGACGUUUUGUCAACAAAAUAGUUGUUGACAGCAAGCAGGUCCGUAUUUGCAGAAAUUGUUUCGAGGCCUUAAACACUUAGUUUUGACUCAAUAUUUGGUCAGAAUUGGUAUAACAAUAUAAAUGAUGAUUGGUAAUUUUUGUAAACUUUUCGGAAGUUGUUUAACGUAGUUUUCGCGGACGUUUUGUCAACAAAAUAGUUGUUGACAGUAAGCAGGUCCGUACUUGUAGAAAUUGUUUCGGGGUCUUACACACUUAGUUUUGACUCAAUACUUGGUCAGAAGUUGUAUAAUAAUAUAAAUGAUGAUUGGUAAUAUUAUGUAUUGUUAAGUGUUACAAAUACAGGCAAUCGGAACGUAUGAGCAUGUUUUGCCAAGGUUGGCGAAAGGUAAUGCAAUGUAUUAAAAACGAGUCAAUGUUGACCCGUGCCAGGUACGCACAAGGAAUGAUACUCUCGUGAAGGGUACAUGUACCAACCAUAAUAUGGAUUAUGGUUGGAGGAAAUAAGAGUUUUUUUUAGAGUUGAUAAAAUUAUAGUUUUGACAUAAAUACCCAUAACGGGUCAAAUAAUUCGGUUUAAGAACCGGAAAUUUGAAUUCGAAGGAAACAAGAAUUUUGAAUUGGAUGGAAAUAUGUUUAUAACUUGUUGUGAAACUGUCAAAACUAACUUUUAUGUUGGUUUUGAUUUUAGGAAUGUCUUAUGGAACUCCGGAUGAGGAUCAAGCAAGAAAGGAGAACCGAACACAUGUCUUGAAGCUUCCGCAACGAUCUUAUUUUGUUCUAGUUUAAAAAGUGGAUAUUGUAAACACUUGAAAUUAUAUUUUGGAAUGUUUUUAAAUUAUGUAAGAAGUUUAACUUGGAAAAGUUUUUGUAAGCUUGCAUUUUCGUAUAAAAUGCGUGUUUAAU